ensembl:lncRNA
AAAAAUGUCUCUUGGAUGGAGAGAGACCCAAAACAAAGUCAAACAAAGCCCUUUCUUGAGCGCAUGCACUAAACGAAGCGGGCUACCAGGUGAUUCCCAUGAAAGAGAUGAAGCCCAGCCUGAGCAUAAGGUGAAGUCACUGAGCUGAGCUCUCAAAGCCCCUCCAGGCUCUGAGGGAUGAGCUUGGCUGGGGGCUGUGGGAGCACUGCCAGUGCCUUCCUGAAAAAGCGAAGGGAGAAAGCAAACUGGGAGCGGUCAUCUGAAAAGGCAGUGCUCUUCUGCUUGUGUUUUUGUGCCACGCGUGCAUGUUUUAUGGGACUGGGCUCUUGCAAGGGGACUCUGGUUGCCUGUGUUGGUUGACCUGGCAAAGAGCAGGAGGAUGAGGGUGUCCCCAUCGCAGGGGCUUUGCUCCCCUCUGCCGUCUCCAUCGCUCUGCAGCUCCGCAUCCUGCUCUCCUGUUGCUCAGAGAUGUGGAGGCAGUUGCUAAGAGACACCGAAACGUCAGUAUCUGGCCCUCAAGGAAAAAAAAAAAAUAGAGAAAGAGAGAGACAAGGGAG